rnacentral:rRNA from 1 species
GGAAUUGUUCGCAAUGGGCGCAAGCCUGAUCCAGCAAUGCCGCGUGAGUGAUGAAGGCCUUAGGGUUGUAAAGCUCUUUUACCCGGGAUGAUAAUGACAGUACCGGGAGAAUAAGCCCCGGCUGACUCCGUGCCAGCAGCCGCGGUAAUACGGAGGGGGCUAGCGUUGUUCGGAAUUACUGGGCGUAAAGCGCACGUAGGCGGCUUUGUAAGUUAGAGGUGAAAGCCCGGAGCUCAACUCCGGAAUUGCCUUUAAGACUGCAUCGCUCGAAUCAUGGAGAGGUGAGUGGAAUUCCGAGUGUAGAGGUGAAAUUCGUAGAUAUUCGGAAGAACACCAGUGGCGAAGGCGACUCACUGGACAUGUAUUGACGCUGAGGUGCGAAAGCGUGGGGAGCAA